UGUUCUACAUCAGACGCUAACCAAAA
rnacentral:sRNA from 1 species